UGUCCAGACAAUCAAGAAACUAUAUAUAAGGUACGGGCUACAGGAAAACAUGAAAGACUAUACAACAAAACCCAGCCAACAAGGCAUACCAAACUAUACAUGAGUCGACACCUGUAUAUGAGCCUCUAAAAGAACAUAAGUUUUGCAACAUAGCCGGAACAGGGCCCCGACAUACCCAUAAUGUUUAUAACAAAAAUGCAUGCCAAGACCACAGCAAGUCCGAAGAAGGGAUCUCGCCAAUCACCGCUGAACUAAACAACCUUAAAGGAAUAUAAGUUCUGCAACAUAGCUGGAACAAGGCCCCGACAUACCCAUAAUAUCUAUAACAAAAAUGCAUACCAAGACCAUGGCAAGUCCGAAGAAGGGAUCUCGCCAAACACCGCUGAACUAGACAGCCUACUGUGGUUGGGGAGCUGCACCUGCCUGUCUAUCAGGACCUGCAACACGACAUGCAUCAUCCACAAACAAAAGGACAUCAUUACGAAUAAACUACUGAGUAUGUAAGGUAGGGAACCAUAAAUACGAACAGUAAUAUAAGCAGGGAUAAAAAAUAUACAACCUGUAACAUCUGAGUACCUCUGAGGGCUACUGACAUGAAAUGCAUCAUCCAUAUGUAUAAAUACAUAAACUGUUAAAACAUACGCCUCUGUGGGCAUCAUCAUCAUCAUAUCGUACCCGACCGUAAUAGGCUCGGUAAAAACGUACCCGACCAUCAUUAGGCUCGGUAGAAUCAUACCCGGCCACGUGGAGCUCGGUAAAACCCAACUCAUCAGUGGUUGCACAGUAGGUGCCGUACCCGGCCGACUGUAGAGCGCUCGGUAGAGUAAAAUAGAUACAUAUAUAUAAUGCAUGCUCGACUCAUGGAAACACGUUCUAGACCUUUCAAAGUGAUGUACGGUCGGUAUCCUUUGUACAUGUUAUUAGGACUAACUUUUUACUAUGAACCUUAUAAGAAUCAAGAACUACAACAACAUUGAUAACAUAAGAAUAAGAGAAGCCACAUCACAUCAAUCGUUCCAUAAAAGGGGAAACAAUGUAAGUAUUGCUAGCUUCUAAGAGUAGAGUAUCAUUGAAAGCUCGUUCAUUAUAUUAUGUACAAUUGGAGUCGUGAAAAAGAAAGAAAGCGAUAGCCUCACAUACCUUGUAUAUGCUGCCCCAAUCUCAAGCAAUUCAAUUAUCACAAUUCCUUAGUCUACAACAAGAGAAACGAUAUAAUCAUUAUCAUUUAAGCGACAUAACUAUUAUGUAUCAAUCACAAUCUAUUUUACGAUGAAACAGACAUCACCUUCCCUAUAUAUUUGACUUCACACCAUUCAAAACAAUCGCCAAACAGCCCAAACAACAUGAAUAAUAAAAUAUUGAGCCUCCCAAAAUAGUCCACGCAUAAUCUAAUUACUUCAUACAUACGAUGACCACCGUAGUCGUGUCAAACGACCCGUAAAUGUUACGAAGAACUUUCAGCCCACAACCCUACAUAUAUAUGGUGUUUCUCCACGCCCUUCCACCUCCAAAACUUCAAAAAAUAGUAGUAAAACACGCAGCCCACAGCAAGACAAAACAGUCCAUAAAACAGUCCGCUACAAGUGAAUAACUCAAACUCACGGUUGCCGAUCACCAUCCCGUGAGUUCUUACAUGUGUAGAACGAACUACCAUGAGUUCACACCAGAAAAAAUGUAUGAAAUAGUGCAGUAAACUUACAUUACUCGUUGGAUAACUAAGCCCCUCCCUUUAUUAUUCAAAAUCAUGAUUUUACCCUCAAUUAGCACUUGAAAGAGAGGAAAAAUCGAUUAGGGUUAGUGUAGGAUUUUUGGGAGGAGGUUUGCAGGGGUUUUGGUAUGAGUAUUUGUGAGACAUAUUGAGGGUUAUAUUGCAGGAGAUAAGUCUUUAAAUGGGCUCAAUAGCCGACCCGAAAUUUCCAUUUUUUGGGCUAUCAUUUUAACAAGUAGGUGACAUACCUACUUGUCACCUAGCAGCUUGCACAGUAUUAUAAAAAUAGUUAUAUCUCUCUACUCCGAUGUCGCAUUGAUAAACGGUUUAAUGCGUUAAAAACUAGACUCUUAGAUCUUUAAUCUGGUAGGUAUAUAACCCCAUAAUUUCUUGUAAAUUGGUAGAAAAGCGUAGAAACAUUUGACUUAAUGUUUAAGUAAAAUUUUGAACCCAAGUUGUGAGAACUUUUGUCGACUUUUAUUUCAUAAUUCGUUUGACUUCAAGACUAUGAAACGGAUAUUAUAUGAUUCAAAUACCUUAAAACAUGACCUCGAACCUAAUUUGUGACAACUUUUGUCGACUUUUGUUUCAUAACUUGUUUGACUUCAAGACUAUGAAAAGGAUAAUAUAUGAUUCAAAUGACUUAAAAGAUGACCUAUUUAGUGUAUUAAGCACCUAUAGGUUUACCCAAAAAUACGAGUUACAACACCCUUGAUUCAUUUAACUUCUAAUACUUGUUAAUCACCCUUAUACACCCUUGUAUCACUUAAGAUCAAUAGGAUUAACUUCUUAUCAUAUCAAGGAUAAUUCCUUCUUGAGUUUAUUUUAACUAGCGCAUGGCAUGAACUAAUGCGUGUGGAUAUGUGUUGUAACAGUAACGCAAGCUCAUAGGCUACCUCCCCAACUCUCCUCAACACCUCAAAAGGGCCUAUGAAGCUUUGGCUCAACUUUCCCUUCUUCCCAAACCUCAUAAUGCCCUUCAUGGGCGAGACUUUCAAGAGGACCGUCUCGACAACCAUAAAUGAUACAGUGCGCGCCUUCUGAUCCGCGUAACUCUUCUUUCUGGAUUGAGCUGUGCGAAGCCUCUCCUGAAUCAACUUCAUCUUAUCCAAGCAUCUUAUUUCCAAGCUGUAUGAGAUUCACUUGUGUGCCUAAACCCCUCUGAAAAGACCUCCAAAAUUUAGCCGUAAAUUGAGCUCCUGGGUCUGAUAUAAUAGAUACCGGCACACCAUGAAGCCUAACAAUUUCCUUGAUAUACAACUUUGCAUAAUCUUCACCCGCGUAAGUUGUCUUAACUGGCAGAAAAUGGGCACAUUUUGUAAGUCGAACAACUAUCACGCAGAUAGAAACAAACUUAUGAUAAGAGCGAGGUAAUCCAAUAACGAAGUCCAUAUUAAUCACCUCCCAUUUCNNNNNNNNNNNNNNNNNNNNNNNNNNNNNNNNNNNNNNNNNNNNNNNNNNNNNNNNNNNNNNNNNNNNNNNNNNNNNNNNNNNNNNNNNNNNNNNNNNNNNNNNNNNNNNNNNNNNNNNNNNNNNNNNNNNNNNNNNNNNNNNNNNNNNNNNNNNNNNNNNNNNNNNNNNNNAAAUUCUGCAAUAGACUUCUUCAUGUUAUCCCACCAAUACUGCUCCUUGACAUCAUGAUACAUCUUUGUCGAGCCGGGAUGGAUAGAAUAUCUGGAUUGAUGAAUCUCACUCAUAAUCUUUUCUCACAACCCUGCCACAUUAGGCACACAUAAUCGGCCUUGGUGUCUCAGUGCCCCAUCUCCUCCGAUCUCAAAAGCCGUAAUUUUACACUGUUUAAUACUCUCUCUCAAUCGUACUUAUAUAGGAUCUUCAUGUUGUCGUGCUUUUACCUCGGCUACCAAAGAUGAUUCUGAUGUAUUAUGUAUAGUAACACCUCCGUCAUCAGGGUCUAAUAAUCUGAUUCUCAUAUUGGCUAGCUGAUGAAGCUCUUUAGUCAACCCCUAUCUACCUGCCUCAAUGUGUACUAAGCUUCCCAUUGACAUACGACUGAGAGCGUCUGCCACAGUAUUGGUUUUACCAGGAUGAUACAAUAUCUCGAUUUCGUAGUCUUUCAAAAAUUCAAGCCACCUACGCUGCCUUAAGUUCAACUCUUUCUGCUUGAAGAUGUAUUGUAAACUCUUAUGAUCUGUAUAGAUGUCAACAUGGAUGCCGUAUAAGUAGUGCCGCCAUAUCUUCAAAGCAUAUAUUACUCCAGCCAAUUCCAAAUCAUGGGUCGGGUAAUUGUUUUCAUGCUUCUCCAAUUGUCUUGAUGCAUAAGCAAUCACCUUUCCAUGUUGCAUCAAUACGCACCCCAAACCUAUUCCUGAGGCAUCAUAAUAUACCAAAUAUCCUUCUGUUCCUUCACGGAGAGUGAGCACUGGUGCGGAUGUUAAUCGAUUCAUCUGUUCCUGAAAACUACGCUCACAAGCCUGAGACCACUAGAACUUGGUAGAUUUUUGUAUUAACUUAGUCAAUGGUACUGAUAUGGAGGAAAACCCUUCUACAAUUUGCCUAUUAUAUCCUGCUAGCCCUAGGAAGCUGCGGACUUCUGAUGGUGUUUUAGGUCACAGUCAAUUCUUUACUGGAUCGAUCUACGGAGUAUCGACACUGAUACCCUCAUCAGAUAUCACAUGGCUAAGAAUGGUACUGAGUUCAGCCAGAAUUCACAUGUGGAGAGCUUAGCAUAUAGCUUACGAUCUUGAAGCGUCUGUAAUACUAUCCUCAAGUGGCCCGCAUGUUCUGCCUCUGAACGAGAAUACCCCAGAAUGUCAUCAAUGAAUACGAUUACGAACACAUCAAGAUAGGGACUGAAUACUAUUUUCAUGAGAUCUAUAAAAGGUGCCGGGGCAUUUGUUUGCCCGAACGACAUCACAAAGAACUCAGAGUUCCCAUAUCUUGUCCGAAAGCCGUCUUUGGAAUAUCCUUCUCCUUAACCCUCACCUGAUGAUACCGUGAGCGUAAGUCAAUCUUGCAGAAAUACUUGGCACCCUUGAGUUGGUCAAACAAGUCUUCAAUUCUUGGAAGUGGAUACUUGUUAUUUAUAGUAAACUUAUUCAACUGUCGAUAGUAGAUACACAUCCGUAACGACCUGUCUUUCUUUCGCACUAAUAGACUGGCGCACCCCAAAGUGAAGUGCUAGGCCUACUGAAGCCCUUAUCCAGCAAGUCUUUCAACUGUGUCUUCAACUCUCGCAACUCUGCUACAGCCAUUCUGUAUAGAGGGAUAGAGAUUGGUUGAGUGUCAGGCAACACAUCAAUGCUACACUCAAUCUCCCUUUCAGGAAGAAGGCCUGGGAGUUCAUCUGGGAAAACAUCUGGAAAUUCAUUGACCACGGGGGAUUGAUUGUAGAGUAGGCGGCUUCGCCUCCACAUCCCUAACGCAAAAGAGAUGAUAAAUGUAACCUUUGGAGAUCAUUUUCCUUGCCUUAAGAUAGGAAAUAAACCUACCUUUCGAUGUAGCAAUGUUCCCCUUCCAAUCAAUGAAGGGGUCACCAGGAAAUUGAAACCUAACAAUCUUCGUAUGACAAUCAACAUUUGCAUAGCAUGAGGACAACCGGUCCAUCCCCAUUAUCACUUCAAAAUCAAUCAUUUCUAACUCAAAUAAGUUUGCCGAGGUUUGACGACUAAAAAUCAUCACAGUGCAACCGCUAUAUACUCUUCUAGCAAUCACAGAAUCUUCUAUUGGAAUAGAUACCGCAAGGGGUUUACUUAUCAAUUCAGGUUCAACGCCAAACUUAUUAGUCACAAAGGGUGUAACAUAUGAUAAUGUGGAUCCCGGAUAAAUCAGCGCACAUACAUCAUAAGAAAACACAGACAAUAUACCUGUAAUAACAUCUGGAGAUGACUCGAGAUCCUGUCGACCUACUAGAGCAUAUGUUCGACUUUGAGCACCACUCAAACUCGGCCCUGCACCUCUACCUCUACCACGAUCUGUCGACUGCUGAAAACCCUGAGCUGGAGGUCGAACUGAUGAGGAAGAACCCAAAUAGAUCUUGUCAGCUGAGCCAUACAAUCACCUCUUUUGUUAGGGCAAUCCCGCAUCAUAUGGCCAGGCUGUCCGCAAGAAUAACACACAUAAGAACCUCGACGGCACAGUCCAAAGUGGGCCUUACCACACUGAUCACAACGUGGUGUUGGGGGUCUCAUAUGACUAGUAUCUCUAUGAUGUUGCAAGCUAGAUGCCCGCAAUCUCUAACUUGGACCAGAAUAGGAUCGAUCAUAUCGAGGCCUCUGAAACUGUGGAGGAGCACUAGCUACAGGCGGCACCAAACUCCUCAAAGACUGGGGCCUGACGCUGCCUCUGAAGUCAUAUGGAUACCUUGCAAAUCUCGCCCUCUAAUGCUAGCCCCUAUCCUGCUCCCUAUCUUCCCUAUUAUGGCGCUUACGAUCCUCUAGGGUCUGGGCAUAAGCCUGAAUACAGGAAAUAUCCAUGCCAUCCACCAAGGAGGCUGUCGUGCACUCAUUUCUCAGAUGUGGUCCCAAACCGUUCACAAACAAAUGCACCCUAUCAGUCACUCGGCUACCAUAUGGGGAGCAUACCUUGAUAAAGAAUCAAACUACAUACUAUACUCUCGCACACUCAUAUUACCUUGUCUAAGGUUCAAGAACUUAUCAGCUCUAGCUCGUCAUAUCUCAAACGGCAAGUAGUGACGAAGAAAGGCCUCAGAAACUUCCUUCCACACAGCAGGAGCGUUCGGACCCUUGGAUCUCUCCCAACUAUCAUACCAGAGACUCGCUAAAUCCCGUAGCCGAAGAAGCCAACUUUACUUCCUCUGUAUCACUAACAUGUAUAACCCGCAAUGUACGAUGAACCUGGUCAAUAAAAGUCUGUGGGUCCUCCUUGGGGUCCGAUUACCUCCGCAUAACAAACAUGCAUAACCUGAAGUGUACGAUGAACCUGGUAAAUAAUAGUCUGCCGGUCCUCCUUGGGGUUUGAUCGGGAAAACACUGGAGGGUCUAAAUUAAUAAAAUCACGAACUCUCGUACUAACUUGUUUAUCAGCAGCACUUGUAUUCUGCCUCUGAGCUUGAGCAGCUACCAAGCUAGUCAAUAACUGCAAAGCACUCCGCAUAUCCUGGUCUAUAGUGCCAGACAAAGGAACUGGAGGUGUUAGGUUCCUCCUAAUAUCCUCUGGAUGAGACAGAGUAGAUGAGGUAUGAGACAACAUCUCACUUUGAGCUUCACUUUGGCCUACUCUGGCUUGGGGUACCUGACUGGUACCCUCUCCCGUAGCUGUAUUAAGCCGUCUACUAAUUGUUGCUUCCUAGUCAAAGGCAUGGCUGAAAAAAAACAAGGUUAAUAUUAGAGACAAACACUUAGGACUCAACUCUGCGCACGAUCUCGAUUCAAGAAGAAGGUAACAACCCUAAAUGUCCUGUAGCCUCCUGAUUAUAAAUGUGGCACGUUUCACAUCCAAAAUCAAGAUUCUACUAGACACGGCUUAUAGACAAUCCCUAGGACAGACCGGUCUUAGUACAAAGUUUGUCACGACCCAAACUGGAGGGCCAUGACUAGCACCCGUCCAUACUUGCCGCGCACCAACAUAAAUUUUACCUAACCAUCUUUAUUAUCUGUUAGGGCCAACGCGAUCAAUAUUAAUGGUAUCCAUGGAUCACGGACAACAAACGAUAAAAGAUGAUGGCAUAAACAUACAUAACAUGGGGUGUCCAGACAAUCAAGAAACUGUAUAUAAGGUAUGGGCUACCACGAUACCAUGAAAGACUAUACAACAAAACCCAGCCUACAAGGCAUACCAAACUAUACAUGAGUCGGCACCUGUCUAUGAGCCUCUAAAGGAACAUAAGUUCUGCAACAUAGCCGGAACAGGGCCCCGACAUACCCAUAAUAUCUAUAACAAAAAUGCAUAUCAAGACCACGGCAAGUUCGGAGAAGGGAUCUCGCUAAACAUCGCUGAACUGGACAGCCCAUUGUGGUGGGGGAGCUGCACCUGCCUGUCUAUCAGGACCUGCAGCACGACAUGCAACGUCCACAAACAAAAGGACGUCAGUACGAAUAAAGUACUGAGUAUGUAAGGCAGGGAACCAUAAAUACGAAUAAUAAUAUAAGCAGGAAGAGAAAAUAUAGAACCUAUAACAUCUGAGUACCUAUGAGGGCUACUGACAUGAAAUGCAUGAUACAUAGUAAGGCAGGGAACCAUAAAUACUAAAAGUAAUAUAAGCAGGGAUAGAGAAUAUACAACCUGUAGCAUCUGAGUACCUCUGAGGGCUACUGACAUGAAAUGCAUGAUACGUAUGUAUUGUCACACCUCCUUUUUUACACGGCUACCCCGAAGGAUAAACGUAUAGGGAGUUUUUCCAAUUAAAGUGACAUUAUUCGAAAUGAGAUUAUUUAUUUAUUUAUUUUUGUUUUUAGAGUCGCAACUUGAGAUAGUUUAUUUGGUGUCACAAGUCACCGAUUUAUUUUUAAAUCCCAAAUCGAGGAAGAUUUCGUCUUCUUUUUGAAGUCUGCGAACUGGAAAUUCUGAAUAAGGAAUUCUGUUAACCCUAGGGAAGGUGUUAGGCACCCCCGAAUUCCGUGGUUCUAGAACGGUCGCUUAAACUAUUACAAUUGGCUUAAAUUCUAACUUUUAUACAUGUUCAUUCUAUAGUGUAAUUUUAAAUUAUUUUUAUACCAUUUUUAAUAUAUUUUAAGAGAAUUGCAAUGUCGUUAAAACUAUGCUGCGAACCACGUCACAUAAAUACACCCGCGGUUUUUGACAUAUUUCAACUUCAUUGAGAUUUGGAUUUGGUCACAUAAAUGUGCACCAAUACUUAGAAAGGUAAGAUUAUUAAAGACGCGCCUAAAGCGACUAACGUAUUUUCAAGUUUGCGAGAACCAUGAAAAAUUCAACUAAAUGUCGCAUCUCGGUUUCUAAGGAUUAGCUAUAAGUUAAACCAUAGAUAUUUAUUUUUUAUAUCGUACUCGUAUCAUGCGAACAUGUACACAAUUAAUAACGUUCUGUUAUAAAUUUACAGUAACAGGUUACACUCAGCAUCGAGACCCUCCAUUAACACCGUGUAUGACUGAGUUCACCCUUUAUGAUUCUGGAAAAAUUUUAGACUCUAGAGUAAACCCAACAUUACUGCACACGGGCCACAGAGUAAAAGCCAAAAUAAACACAUUUCACAAGUCCUGUAUAUCUACUCAAACAAAUAAUUAUAGUGAAUUGACAAUAUAUAACAUGGAGUACAUAAUUUAUGGAAAAACUAAUUCCAUAUGUCCAUUACAUUUCAAUGGAAGCAGCAAAAGGCCGUAUGAGUUCAUUCCUCCAAAUGACUCUUACUUUAUAAUCAAAAUAGCCAUGGGAAAUCUUUAUAAAUAAAUCGGCUAUAGGCAGUGAAUAAACAAACAUGCCACCCAUUAGAAUUAGUUCAUCUUGUUGGAAUCAUUUUGCAUGAAUCCGUACUCUCAAGUAAGUAAAUGUCAUUCCCAGCAGACAUCGAGUUGUUCAUCAAGGCUUAAUAAAUCCCGAAAUCAGGUUCUUUGCACACAAAUAGCUACCGAAAUUAGCAGGAAUAGAAUUUAGAAGAAAAUGCAGCCAAAUGAAAGCUUAAUUCUACACAUUAGAGUUCUUGGUACCAAUUUAACAAACAACAGCAAAUCCAACCCAAAUGAUGCUUGAUACCCAAAAAAAAAACAAGUGAAAAGAAACAAGCUGUAGUUUCCAACAGAUCUCUCUUUUAUCUUUUUUUAGAAAUAUCAAACUCAAUUAACAAUUUUAUUCUAGUUGAGUUUACAUGCAUUUAUUUCGCUGAAUUAAAUCAAACAAGUUCGUUCCAAUAGCAAUAACAGAUGAAAUUGAAAAUAACCGUAGCUUCAAGUAUGUAACUGAUGAGCUAGAGCAUAACUACUUCCAUAUCAAGGCAAUCCAAACAUAAAUUCUUUUUAAAUAAAUACAUACCUAAUUGCACGAUGAUUUAAACAUAAGCCAAACAAAGGCAAAGAAAACGACUGGUUGGAGCUGUGCAACGAUGAACAACAGAUCGCAACUUCAACUUCCAAAUUCGACACCAAACUCGGACACCCAGAAAUGGUAGAGAUUGAAUUUUGAAAUCAGUUUUUCUUUGAUAUUCUUUCAGAAAUUUCAGCUAUUCUUUGUUUGUCAAACUUUGUGAUUUUUCAGAUCUUCACUCGGAAGUUUUAGCUUUGUUUCAGCUGUUUAUGUUCAAAUCACGAGUGAGUGAGUCUCCGUCUCCUGCACUCAAUCAACGCCUUAAUAAUUGAUAAUUGAAACAAUAUAAUUUCUAUUUUCUUAAAAC
rnacentral:lncRNA from 1 species